GCAUGAGUGGAUUGAAAAUAGGUUGAUAAAUUCGCCUACUUCCGAGUGUACUCUCGUAUCAAGCGUUUCUUCACAUUCUUCACGUUUUAUUCCUGUUUCAUACGUUUUGGUACGGUACGCUUAAAUUGGAAAACAGCCUUAAUCUGUGUGGAUUACAAUGGCGAGAUCAUUACACAUGAAUUGAAUAUAUGUAUUCUCUUCUUUGUUAUUUUAUACGAGUUUCUUACGGCUACAGGUGCAUGGUAAACAGCGAGUCGCUUAUUUUUACGGAGAUUUGCAUUUUGAUACCACAUAAAAUAUCCAAUAUUUCUUGUAGUUUUC